rnacentral:rRNA from 1 species
UACGUAGGGGGCUAGCGUUGUCCGGAUUUAUUGGGCGUAAAGAGCGUGUAGGCGGCCAUGUAGGUCCGGUGUGAAAACUCGAGGCUUAACCUCGAGAUGUCAUCGGAAACCAUUUGGCUAGAGUCCGGAAGAGGAGAGUGGAAUUCCUGGUGUAGCGGUGAAAUGCGCAGAUAUCAGGAGGAACACCGGUGGCGAAGGCGGGUCUCUGGGCCGAAACUGACGCUGAGGAGCGAAAGCGUGGGGAGCAAACAGG